CUAGUGAUCAGAAGUGAGAAUGUUGACAUGAGUAGCGACAAACAGGGUGAGAGACCCUGUCGCCGAAAGUCCAAGGGUUCCUGCUUAAAGCUAAUCUGAGCAGGGUAAGCCGGCCCCUAAGGCGAGGCCGAAAGGCGUAGUCGAUGGGAACCAGGUUAAUAUUCCUGGGCCAGGAGAUGGUGACGGAUCGCAGAGGUAGUUCUUCCUUAUCGGAUUGGAAGGGCUGCUGAGUGGUUCCUGGAAAUAGCCCUCCAUGAGACCGUACCCUAAACCGACACAGGUGGACUGGUAGAGAAUACCAAGGCGCUUGAGAGAACCACAUUUAAGGAACUCGGCAAAAUACCUCCGUAAGUUCGCGAGAAGGAGGCCCCGUUUGUACGCAAGUAUGGGCGGGGGGCACAAACCAGGGGGUGGCGACUGUUUACUAAAAACACAGGGCUCUGCGAAGCCGUAAGGCGACGUAUAGGGUCUGACGCCUGCCCGGUGCCGGAAGGUUAAAAGGAGAUGUGCAAGCAUUGAAUUGAAGCCCCGGUAAACGGCGGCCGUAACAAUAACGGUCCUAAGGUAGCGAAAUUCCUUGUCGGGUAAGUUCCGACCUGCACGAAUGGCGUAACGACUUCCCCGCUGUCUCAAAUGUGGACUCAGCGAAAUUGAAUUGUCUGUGAAGAUGCAGACUUCCCGCGGUUAGACGGAAAGACCCCAUGCACCUUUACUAUAGCUUCGCACUGGCAUCAGGAUUGUGAUGUGCAGGAUAGGUGGUAGGCAUUGAAACCGGGACGCCAGUUCCGGUGGAGCCAUCCUUGAGAUACCACCCUUCGCACUCUUGAUGUCUAACCGCGGCCCGUUAUCCGGGUCCGGGACCCUGCGUGGUGGGUAGUUUGACUGGGGCGGUCGCCUCCCAAAGAGUAACGGAGGCGCGCGAAGGUUGGCUCAGAGCGGUCGGAAAUCGCUCGUUGAGUGCAAUGGCAGAAGCCAGCCUGACUGCAAGACUGACAAGUCGAGCAGAGACGAAAGUCGGCCAUAGUGAUCCGGUGGUCCCGAGUGGAAGGGCCAUCGCUCAACGGAUAAAAGGUACGCUGGGGAUAACAGGCUGAUGAUGCCCAAGAGUCCAUAUCGACGGCAUCGUUUGGCACCUCGAUGUCGGCUCAUCUCAUCCUGGGGCUGGAGCAGGUCCCAAGGGUAUGGCUGUUCGCCAUUUAAAGAGGUACGUGAGCUGGGUUUAGAACGUCGUGAGACAGUUCGGUCCCUAUCUGCCGUGGGUGUAGGAUACUUGAGAGGAGUUGCCCCUAGUACGAGAGGACCGGGGUGAACGUUCCACUGGUGGACCAGUUGUCGUGCCAACGGCAGUGCUGGGUAGCUAUGAACGGACAGGAUAAACGCUGAAGGCAUCUAAGCGUGAAGCCCCCCUCAAAACAAGGUAUCCCUUGAGAGCCGUGGAAGACCACCACGUCGAUAGGCCGGAGAUGUAAGCGCAGCAAUGCGUUCAGUUGACCGGUACUAAUGGCUCG
rnacentral:rRNA from 1 species